rnacentral:rRNA from 1 species
GACGAACGCUGGCGGCGUGCCUAAUACAUGCAAGUAGAACGCUGAAGGAGGAGCUUGCUUCUCUGGAUGAGUUGCGAACGGGUGAGUAACGCGUAGGUAACCUGCCUGGUAGCGGGGGAUAACUAUUGGAAACGAUAGCUAAUACCGCAUAAUAGUAGUUGUUGCAUGACAACUGUUUGAAAGGUGCAAUUGCAUCACUACCAGAUGGACCUGCGUUGUAUUAGCUAGUUGGUGGGGUAACGGCUCACCAAGGCGACGAUACAUAGCCGACCUGAGAGGGUGAUCGGCCACACUGGGACUGAGACACGGCCCAGACUCCUACGGGAGGCAGCAGUAGGGAAUCUUCGGCAAUGGACGAAAGUCUGACCGAGCAACGCCGCGUGAGUGAAGAAGGUUUUCGGAUCGUAAAGCUCUGUUGUAAGAGAAGAACGAGUGUGAGAGUGGAAAGUUCAC